rnacentral:lncRNA from 1 species
GCCUUGGGACGUACAAGGGCAUAUGUUAGGUCGGGGAUGUGCCUGGCAAGCAGAAAUGAAUGUUAAAUUACAGUGACUGAUGAUAACCCCAUUUGUCUUUCAAACCUCUCCUUCAGUGGCAGCUCCUUCUGAAGCCCUUCCUCAUCAGCCAGCCCUGAAGUGAACAGUUUUCCUUGGAAAUUUUGUCCCUUGUCUCCCGUCAGGCUAACGCCACUAGUUUUUUGUGUGCCCGUCUUACUGCCUUUCUCAAGAUUCUAUUUAUAAGUAAUCUCUACACCCAACGUGGGGCUGGAACUCAGAACCCCGAGAUCAAGAGUCACAGGCUUCACCAACUGAGCCAGCCAGACGCUCCUGUGUUGCCAAUCUGAUGGGUAAAUAAUAUUAAUCUCAUUUUAAUGUGCUUUUCCUGGCAGGCUGGGCAGGGCACUUACUCUUUUGUUUUUUGUCAUCAGCAUUUCUUCUUCUGUGAAUAGUGUGCUGAAGACCUUGAGUUGUUUUUCUUAUUGCAUUAUCUUUUUCUGUUGGUAGGCAUUCUUUGGGAUUUUAACCUUUUGUGAUAAGGGCUGCAGAUACCUUCUCCUAGCUG